GCUGCAAUGGGAACAGAACAGAACAGAGCAGAACAGAAUGAGAGAUUACCCAGCAGCCACGACCAAGAGCUACUAUCAUGAUGACUAAUCGUUGAUGGAUGUAUGUGGGGUAUGGGUCUCUAUGUGGAUGUGUUUUGCCCAGAUAAGGCACACGCCCCUAAUCGUAUUUCCUUGGCACUUCAGUUUCGCAAUCUCUCCUAUACACUCGAAACAAAUUGCAAUCUUGGCUUCUCUAGUAACUGCAGCCGAAAGGAAUGUAAGCUGCAAAGCAUUGAUAUUAAGUGAACCCGGAAAGACCACUUUAUAGGGGGGAUCGGCAACCCUGGAUGGGAAGGAUUGUAAAACCUGAUCUACAGAUGGAGAAAGAAGUUCCAUUCCUCCAUACCUUCCCAAAGAAGGCCACUCGGGACUUUGUAGCUGUGAUGGACGGAUCUUCCAUGCCACAGCGGUCUUUCUUCCAAUGUGUUGUAUUCCUAGAUAUUCUUAGCUGAUUCUUCUGUUUCUUAGCAUACCCGGAAAGCGCACUUGAUAGGGGUUCUGCAACUAUAAAUCUGAAGACCUUAUCCUGUUUUUAAAAUUUGUUAAAGACAAAGCUCCGACACAGAAACGAUGUCAACAAAUAUAGAGAAGCAAAAAGGAAGGGGGGAACGGAAGUCCCUUGAAAGUAUGAUUUUUUGAUAAGAUAUAUAUGUAUCUUAUUAUAGUGUCAGAACCCCUAUCUGCAUAUCUGCUAUCCAAUUUGGGUGUUGUUUUUUUUACCGAAUAGUAUAUAAAAUGCUUUGUUGAUAAACAUUUUCCCGACUGUUGAUUAACAAAUGAUUAAAUGCCCAUUCCUAUCCUUCAGAGUGACUGCAAACAUCAGCCACAACAACCACUCCCAA